rnacentral:rRNA from 1 species
AGUGAACGCUGGCGGUAGGCCUAACACAUGCAAGUCGAACGGCAGCACAGUAAGAGCUUGCUCUUACGGGUGGCGAGUCGGACGGGUGAGGAAUACAUCGGAAUCUACUUUUUCGUGGGGGAUAACGUAGGGAAACUUACGCUAAUACCGCAUACGACCUACGGGUGAAAGCAGGGGAUCUUCGGACCUUGCGCGAUUGAAUGAGCCGAUGUCGGAUUAGCUAGUUGGCGGGGUAAAGGCCCACCAAGGCGACGAUCCGUAGCUGGUCUGAGAGGAUGAUCAGCCACACUGGAACUGAGACACGGUCCAGACUCCUACGGGAGGCAGCAGUGGGGAAUAUUGGACAAUGGGCGCAAGCCUGAUCCAGCCAUACCGCGUGGGUGAAGAAGGCCUUCGGGUUGUAAAGCCCUUUUGUUGGGAAAGAAAAGCAGCAGGUUAAUACCCCGCUGUUCUGACGGUACCCAAAGAAUAAGCACCGGCUAACUUCGUG